rnacentral:rRNA from 1 species
UACGGAGGGUGCAAGCGUUAAUCGGAAUUACUGGGCGUAAAGCGCACGCAGGCGGUUUGUUAAGUCAGGUGUGAAAUCCCCGUGCUCAACAUGGGAACUGCAUCGGAUACUGGCAAGCUUGAGUCUCGUAGAGGGGGGUAGAAUUCCAGGUGUAGCGGUGAAAUGCGUAGAGAUCUGGAUGAAUACCGGUGGCGAAGGCGGCCCCCUAGACUAAGACUGACGCUCAGGUGCGAAAGCGUGGGGAGCGAACA